rnacentral:rRNA from 1 species
GGUCUCAGUUCAGAUUGCAGGCUGCAACUCGCCUGCAUGAAGUUGGAAUUGCUAGUAAUCGCGAAUCAGAAUGUCGCGGUGAAUACGUUCCCGGGCCUUGUACACACCGCCCGUCACACCACGAGAGUCGAUAACACCCGAAGCCUGUGAGCUAACCGUAAGGAGGCAGCAGUCGAAGGUGGGGUUGAUGAUUGGGGUGAAGUCGUAACAAGGUACC